rnacentral:lncRNA from 1 species
ACAUGGCUGAGAGAUGUGUUGGAGCAAUGGCACUCAGCAGUCCUUCGAGGAAUCACAUCCCGUCCGGUCGACAACUCCCUAGGACUCCUCCUUUAAACGACUUUUCUCCAUCUGAUUUUGAGGAAAAACAGCCUGUAGAGGCAGAGCUGAGGAACAAUGAGGAGCUGGAUCUGAGCUCUCUGAAGACAGAACCAGAAUGGUCCAUGCUGAAAGGGAUGAAGGGCUAUCAAAUGACUACAGAUGACCUGGACUUUAUUACAAAACUCAAAAAGGAGCAGCUCAUUAAAAAGCUGAAGAAAGACCUUGAAGAUGUGCAGAAGCUCCUAAAAAAGGAAACCACAGCCUUGGAGAUGGCAUGUGCUUCCAGGGAUAAGGUGCAGGCUGAGCUCAACAAGCUCCUGUCUUCUGAAGACAUCAUCAUGCGUGUAAACGUGGUCUUCAAAGUGAUAUCGCUGCAGGUGAAUUUGAAAGGCAUGAAUGCCAGAUCUCUCCUGGACAUGGUGACGGUGGAGGACAUCCAGAGGACAGUGGAGCAGAAGAAGAGCGAGCUGACUCGGAUGAGGAAAAUUAAAGAAGAGAGGAGAAGGAAGGAGGCUGAGGAGAGAGGGGUGAUAGAAAAACAAAUCACCAGUGAGCAGGUGAAGAUACAGGAGCUAAUGAGGGAGCUGUCCAACCUUAAAUCUGAACUUGCACAAGAAAAGGAGGUAAGUAAAUCCCUCAAAAAGCUGUUACCCACACAAGAAGCAGCAGGAGAUCAUCCAAGCGGACAAGGCAACAAAAGUAAACAAAGACGUGGAGGAAAAAAUGCUGCAGACAAACCGGCAAGAAGUAAAAACGCACACAGAAAAGCAGAGGAGACGCAAGAGGAGCCGAAGCAGUCAAAGGCCAAAGAGUCGGUGCCAGCUGUGAGAGGGAGGGGAAAGGCUGCCACACCAGUGGAGGCUCCAUCACACUCCAGGAGGGGGGCAGCUGCUGAUGUUGCUCCAGAGACAGUCCAUGGUCUCAGAAGAUCAAAGAGGAUCGCCAACAGGAGGUG